AGGACCGGGUGUACCGAGCCGAGGUCGGCGCGGGUGCAAGGGAGGGUCUGGACCUCCCGAGCGAGGAGCGGGGCAAGGGUGGGUGAGCUCUAGGCACUGGUCUGAUGCCUCUGAACCUGCCCGGAGCCUGAGGGCACCCGCCCGCGUCUCUACUCACGUGACGUUGGACUCAGUGACCUCGCUCCCUGGAGGCUUGGAGGUGCCCUAAGUGAUCUUUUGUAUAAAAAGAAGAGAAAAUGCCACACUGUAAAUUAUAUGAGGUUCACCAGGGACCAGAAAGCAACGAGAUCAUCAUCAUAAUAGUUAUCAUGCACAGGGCUGCCAUAACAGAAUACCAUAAACUCAACACAAAUUUAUUGUCUGAGAGUUCUGGAG